CGCCUCCCUCCGCCGCCACUCAGACUACCGUACGGGACGGACGAGCAGUAAGAAUAGUUGGUCUAGUGGACGCAAGUCUACGAACCACGACCAUCGCCGCGGUCGGAGGAGUGAAGGCCUCUCGGUUGUAACUUCUUUAUCUGGAAGAACCAUCUUUCUAGGUGGUUGACGGUACCAGUUGAAUAAGCACCGGCUAACUCUGUGCCAGCAGCCGCGGUAAUAC
rnacentral:rRNA from 1 species